rnacentral:lncRNA from 1 species
AUGGUGGUGAGAGAUGAGUGUUUGAAAAGUCAAAAUAAAAUUAAAGAGUGUGUGAGAUAGAAGUCUAGUGCAACGUAGGUGUAGUGAGAGAGAGUGAAUAGAAGAAAAAAAAAUAAAAGAGUGGUGUGUGAGAUGGUGUGGGGCCGUGCCAUUUAAUGUAGAAAAGAAAGAAGGAAAGAAAAAAGUAGGAUAGGUGUGUGCAUAGGAGUGUGCUACGUGAAGUGAAAUAAAGUGGGAAGUGGAGUCAUGAUUUUGUAAGAAAAGAAAAGUGAGGUGAGUUUUGGUUUAAUUGAAAAAAAAAAUGAAUAAAAGCAAAAGAGAGAAGGGAGAGAAAGUUUGGUUACGUAAAAGUAGGAAAAAGGGAGAGAGAAAGAGAGGUUUUGUGAGAAACGUUUAUUUCAAGUGGGGUCCACUUGGUGAGAGAAAAAAAGGGUAUUCUUAAAGUUAAAAAUAGUUGUGGGGACCACUUGAGUUGGUAAAUUUAAGAGAGGGGGUGUAUUUAAGAUAAAAAGGGGUACAUGCAUGUGACACCCGGGCACUCACGAGGGCGGGG